AUGGAAGAAAAGUUGUCUAGUAUGCGACAAGAUGUCAUUCAGGAAUUUGUGGCGCUUUAUCAAAGAAUAGGGCCUUAUCUACCGAUCGAGCCCUACUUGGUCGAUGAAGCGCUUCGUUCCUAUCUGGACCAUAUUCACGCAACUGAUUCUUUCACUGUUCUCCAAGCGUCUUAUCAAGAUCUGCGGGAGAAUGAGGGAGGAUCUGUUUUCUUUAGAGAUGUUGUUUCCCACAACCGGGAUCUCCUUGAGGCGGAAAGCUCCGCAAGGAGGUGCCUGGAAGUGGAACAGAGGAUCCUAUGGGAAGAAAUCCCCAAGAGCAAGGCAAGUCUCGAAAGAGCUGAGCACGAGCAUGCUCUCGACUUGUUUAAGUCGGAGGAUCUUAGAAGGGAAUUAGAGAAAAAAAAGAGCGGGGUAGCUCAGUAA
rnacentral:rRNA from 1 species